UUCGCAGAGGGUCCUUGUAAACUGUCUGCUCCCCCUUUCCUCCAUCCCCGCCCCCCACUUACGUGCAGCGGAAUUCCGCCUGGGCCCGGGGAAAGUAAGGGGUGCUUGUUGCGUUGAGGUUCCACGCCUCGGCUCCGCGUUAAGUGAGUUCAAAUCUGAAGCAAGACUGAGAGAACAUGACAGCAGUAAGGCUUCGAGAAUGGAGUGGGGAAAGAAAUAAUUAAGCCAGAAAUGGAGUUGGCCUUUUGUGGGGAUGGUGAAGAUGAUGAUGAUGAUGAUGAUUAUAAACUUUCUUGAGUUUCCUCUGUUGGACGGAAGAAAGUGGACCUCACUUUCCUCUCAGCAUCCGGAACCUUACAUAAAGAGUAUUUUCAGGAACAAAAAGAAUUCUCCAAUCCCUUAAACUUGAAUAAACCGAGUCACAUUUCUCCUUU